rnacentral:rRNA from 1 species
UACAGAGGUCUCAAGCGUUGUUCGGAUUCAUUGGGCGUAAAGGGUGCGUAGGUGGUGGGGUAAGUCGGAUGUGAAAUCCCGGGGCUCAACCCCGGAACUGCAUUCGAUACUGCCUUGCUCGAGUACUGGAGAGGAGACUGGAAUUUACGGUGUAGCAGUGAAAUGCGUAGAUAUCGUAAGGAAGACCAGUGGCGAAGGCGGCUCACUGGCCCGGUACUGACGCUGAGGCACGAAAGCGUGGGGAGCAAACAGG